GCCAACGUGGCAGAGUGGUUUGAGUGCUGAACUCGGACUCCGAGAGACCAGGGUUCAGAUCCCUUCUUGGCC